ensembl:lncRNA
CUCCUUCUCUCUCCUCCUCUCCCAGUGUGAUCCCCGUUUCUAAUCACAGGAGAGCGAAGCGGUGGGGAGCUCCCGCCAGAAAGCCCCUAACUGGAAGUGACUGGUUUGACCCCCCACGGCUCCGUCUCCUGAUUGUCAAGGCUAGCCGUCCUCAGAAAGCCCCUAUUAAUGUGUGCAGAACACGGGCGCGCUCCCUCCGCCGCGGCUCAGAGCAUCGUUACUCUGACUGUCAGUGUGCUCACUAAAUUGUGUCAGUCACACAGUUGGUUUUCAGCAGGCGUCACUCUGAAGUCGUCUCUAAUGGCGUGCCAUGCACCAAACGCCGCGUCUUACCUGUGGGUGAGUGUGGGUGGGUGUGUGUGAGUGUGUGUUGAGUGUGGGAGGUGUUAUCUCUUCUUUAGUUUCUCUCUCUCUUCCUCUCUUUGAUUAACAGGCCAUUGCUCAGAGGCCCAAUUCUUAUUUUUAACCUGCCUCCCAAAAGCCAACUCUGAACUGAGUGGGAGGGGAGUGCGGAGGGAGUGGGGAAAGAGCGAAGGAGAGAGGAGGAAAGAAGCAAUGAAAGGAUAGUGUUGACACUUGCUCUCUCCGUUGGUUUUCUCUGUCUGAAGUUAUCUUCAUCAGUUUCUGUAUGUUUCUGUAGGUCUCUCGUUCUGUAGGUCUCUCUGUAUGUCUCCGUCUGUAUGUAGGCCUCCCCGCCUUGCAGGUCUCUCUUACACACCUUGAGAUUCCUCCUGCAGAGUUGACGGUGCUGAGUGUAGCCCCCCGAAGCCGCCUCAAACCUAUUACUGAAAACCGGGAGAGAGGAAAGAGGAGAGGUGAGCAGACGAAAAGCACGAGACAAAACGCUAAUCAAAGCUGGGAGAGGGAGAGAAAGAGAAGAACCACAAAGAAAGCAGUGACAUCAUCCUCGCGCUGGAAAAAAAGGAGAAAGACAGCGAGAAGAAAAGAGAGCGACAAGGCCUCCUAGUUGGCGUACCUAUGCAUCUGUCAUUGAUUUCUUCCUCUGUAAAUAUUUGAAGGGCCAAUAAAGCCCUUUCUUUAUUUACUCCACUUUAUUUAUUCAGGCUCAUGCUAGCGCCUCGCAGUCUCCCUCUGGAAGGUGCGGCGUCAUCACCGCCCAAUUACUCAUGCAUUAUUAAAGCUUGUCUCCUUUCCUUUCUACUUCCUAUGUGAAGGUAGCAUUAUUAAAAGCUACUGUAUUCUUGCCCACUUCCUCCUUCCUUCCUUCCUUCCUUUCUUCCUAUCCUCCGCGCAUUUAAAAUCCUCCCUUUUCAUUUCUUCCGUGAUUUCCUUUUUUUGUCUUCUUUCUCCUCUUUUCUCUGUUAAAAGCUGACUUCCUACCUCCUCGGUUCCCCACAUAAUGUAAUACCCCGAAACUUCCUCUCUCUCUCGUUGUCUGUCCCUCCUCCGCUUCUCUUUUUCCUAACUCACUUCCAUGCUAUUCGCCCCGGGCUGCCUCCUGCAUCCUAACACAGGGAAUUGAAAAUCCUCCUAAGCUCUGAUCUGUGUGUGUAUGUGUGUUUUUUGAGAGAGAGAUUGUGUGUGUGUGUUGGGAGAGAGAUUGUGUGUGUGUGUGUUGGGAGAGUGAUUGUCUGUGUGUGUCUGACUUGUCUUUCAUUAGAGGGAGCUUUGAUGUGAAGGAACAAUGAAGGUGGCAUUGUCACUAAGGAUCUUUUUUUAAUAUAACUGCCUGGUGUCUCUUUCUGCACUGCCAGGUCACAGUGACAUCUUAUUUCAGAGAUAUAGGGUUGGAUAUGGGAAGUCAACUGCCUGGUGUCUCUGUCUGCACUGCCAGGUCACAGUGACAUCUUAUUUCAGAGAUAUAGGGUUGGAUAUGGGAAGUCAACUGCCUGGUGUCUCUGUCUGCACUGCCAGUACACAGUGACAUAUUUUUUCAGAGAUAUAGGGUUGGAUAUGGGAAGUCAACUGCCUGGUGUCUCUGUCUGCACUGCCAGUUCACAGUGACAUAUUUUUUCAGAGAUAUAGGGUUGGAUAUGGGAAGUCAACUGCCUGGUGUCUCCGUCUGCACUGCCAGUUCACAGUGACAUAUUUUUCCAGAGAUAUAGGGUUGGAUAUGGGAAGUCCAGUACACACAUAGAGUGUACCGCGACCUCAGAGAGGUGAGACGGUGAAACGGUUGGACAGACAAAGGAGAAGGGGUGGAGAGAGAACACACAGUGACAUGCUUGUACGAAAACAAAGCACAGCACAGACCGUACAAUAACAAUCCAACACCUCUUUACCAAUCUAAAUCCAACCCCUCCUCUCCAACAAUGCAGAGUUACAGAGACAAGAGAGGAAGAGACCAGGGGAGGGAGAGACCAGGGGAGGGAGAGACCAGGGGAGGGAGAGGGGGCGAGAUAGAGAGGGGAAGAGAAACAGGCAUAAACAAGGUAGUGAAAAUAGAAACACACCGUUGUACAGGGGACCAGAGGCAUCCAUUCUCUCCACCACUUCAAAAACCCGGGCAGACGACAUGAGGAAACAGCACCCGUCCCAAAAAGCACCCCGUUGCCCGUGCAGUGCACUCCUUCUGACCAGAAUGCCUAGCAGCACUGUGGGGAAUAGGGGGCCAUUUUGGACACUGUCACAGAGGGAGAUGUUUCCAAGGAAGCUCAUGGGUCCCAUGGGGACAAUGGUCCAGUUGUGCAGAAGCCCAGUAACUGCUCUGAAAAUGUAUUUAUUUUUUGUCCAGCUAAAUGAGUUGUAAGUAGAUUACUGAAGAUGUUGUUAUAUAUAGUCUUACUAUGAGGUUAUUCUUGAUUCGUAUUGACCCUAACCCUUAUGCCACGAUUGAAGUUACUGCACUUUCACGUGGUUGGGCAAAGCAGGGCGCUCUUCCAACCGCCCGAAAUAUUACAGAAGUGAUAUUUAUCUCCCCUGAAAUGUAUGUUUUCAUAUUUCAUAUUUGUGGGGUCGCAUUCUCCCUCAGCGUGUGUACGGGAGAUCGGCUAAAUGCCUCAGGAGAGACGUACCAGACCUCAGGCAGACUGGGCCUUGAGCACUUGUGGCCUCAACUACAUAAUCCAAACAUUAUGUUCCACAACCAUAGCUGAAUUCCCAGGAUAACACACACACACACACACUGAUGGAUGGGCCCUCCUCCCCAACACACUGCAUUAUAACUUCAUCCCUGACACGUUGUAUAUGAGCAGGAGCCCUCAGCCUGUAUCAUAAGUAGACCUAUUUAUAGCAUCCAUGCCGCGGCGGAGGCGCUCACAGGGGAGAACAUGAGUGAGUGUUGUUAAUAUUCCAAAUGCUAAUACCGACAACUCUCUAAUCGCCCACUUCCACAUAACAGUAGGCUGCGUCUUACAGAAAUCGCAGAACACUUUGAGUGAACUAUCCCUUCAAAGGAAUGUUUGAAACUUUAUCUUCAAGGGACAGUUCUCUUAAAAUACAAUCCUUUAUAGCCAUAUUUUGACGGAAGUGUCUUUGAAGACCCACACCAGUGGAAAUCAUUUUUAUCGACCAGAAAGUCGAUGUCCAGACCUUACCCAUAAUGUUGUACAGCGGUUCACGUCAAUAGGUCAUAUGACAUAACUAAGAUUGAGGUGAUAAAUCCAAUCUUCUCAGGUGUCUGUGAAAUCUGUCAUUUCCUAGAAAAUGAUGUGCAUACUCUUUGCAGCUGGCCUUUCAGUUCAGAGCUCAGGUUUAUUUGUCUUUGGGGCUCCAACUGACAGUCAGCUAUGUCAGUUACGCUACACUUGCAUUGCAAUAGCCCUGUUGUAAUUCUUUUUCCUUUUGUUACGAUCUGCUUAUCGUAAUAAUUUCGGUAAUUUGUGACAUUUCGCAAAUGUUUUAGCUAUUGUGUGUACAGCAAAAAUAUAUGAAUAUCUGAGGAAAUCGUGAAUGAGGAAAUUGUGUGAUAUGAUUGCAUUUUACAUUGCCGGAGGUUCAAUGGUUUUAUACCACUAAUGUAACAAGCACAUUUACAGUCAUGUAAGAAAGUACCCCCAGGAUGUUACAUAUUUGGACGUGUGGAUGUGUAAUCUUUACAUCAACACUACUGACAGAUAAAGGUAUACCUAAUUUAACAAAUGACACUGAAAGAUUGUACUUGGCAGUCACUGCAGAAAUACGCUAGGUUCAAAUAGCUGUUUUAGCCCCCUUUGGCUGAAACGCCUUCAUGCAGUUUCUUGUAACCGUCUAUCAGUGUUGUACAUCGACUGGGAGGAACUUUUGCCCCCUUUUCAGUACAGUGCUGCUUCAACGGUAAUGUUCAAGGGCUUUCUUGCAUGCGCAUCUUGUUUCAAGUCCUCCCACAGCAUUCCAAUAGGACUGAAAUCUGGACAUUGUCUCAGCCAUUCCAUUACCCUCCAUCUCCUCUGUUCGAGCCAUCCUGUUGUAGCUUUGCUUGUGUGUUUCGGGUCAUUGGUCUUGUGGAAAGAUCCAAGAUGACCUUUGGUCUAGAGAUUUAGAUUAGAUUGGAUUCAACUUUAUUGUCAUUGAACAAGUAAAGGUACGGUACAACAAGAUGCAGUUAGCAUCUAACCAGAAGUGCUAAUAGACGAGGGCGGAAAAUGUACAAGUAUUAAGUGGAAUGGUACUGAGGGCUACCUCGCAAUCCCCAAGUCCAAGUAUAAAGGCUUUGGUGACAGGGCUUUCUCCUAGGCUCUGGAACUCGCUCCCCAAAACCAUCUGUGACUCUGAGACUAUCCCCAUCUUCCAGCAAUGCCUCAAAACUCAUCUGUUCAAAAUCACCUACCCUUAGCCAUGCCCAGGCCCAUUCUCUCAAUUGUCUUUGUUUUACCAUGGUAUUUUUUUUGUUUGUUUCUGUUCCAUGUUCAUUUUGUAAAGCGUCUUUGGGUCCCUGAAAAGCGCUAUAUAAAUAUAAUGCAUUAUUAGUGAUGGGUCACAGAGUUCAGCAGUCUAUCUAAAUCACCUGGGUAAAUAUUUAUAUGGAGGAUUUUUGGCUGUGAUUCAGAUUAUGUUGGUGUAGCUAGCAAGUUGUGCUAGCUAGCUACAGCCUGGGCUCCAUUAUAGGAAAUUGUCAUGAUACGAUAUACGAGGAUGCAGUUGUUGGUGGUCUUAAAUGGAAAGCAGACCGAAAAUAUAAUGAUUAAAGCGCCCAUAUUAUGACUGCUUUUCAACUUAUAGGUCUAUAAGUUCCAUAAAACAUGUUUCUGAAGUUGUUUGCUGGAAAUAGCUUGUAGGAAAAGAUUCUUACCUCCCUCUAUUACCCUCUGUUUCAGUCCCUUUCAAAGUUUUCUGCUGCUCAUUGCAUAUUCAUUAGCUGCUGCUCCUUUGCCCACGCCCACUCUAACUGUUACCAUGGUAGCGGGGAGAGCGUAGUAGUAAAAGAGAGAAAUGCCAUCAACUUCAUCUUUUAGAAUGUAUGUAUUAUUAUGCCAACAGAUACAUCAAGCAAAAAAGUAUCACUAAUAAAUACACUCCAGGAGAAGAAACUACAGAAUGGUUGGCUUCAAGUGUAAAUAGUGCUGUGAUGUAGCAGUCUAAACCAUACACUUGUUUUGCCCUAGACAACGCUAACAUAUUCCCGUUUGUAAAUAUAAUAUUAUAAAAUAUUUACAAAUGCAUUAUUUGCACAAAUCCCCGAAAUUAUAUCCGGCGGGGGAUGAGUAUUGCUUGACCGACUGAGUCUCCGGGUUUGUAUGUGGACACCAUGCUAAUAGCUAGAAGCUAGCGGUUAGCGUUACCUUGUACUAUGUGGCAAAACACUAGCUAGCUAAAAUGUUAGUUUGCCAAAACACUUCUUGGUUAGUUUGUGUAGAAUUGCAAAAUAAAGACAGCUAAUUGUAUAGAACUACUUACAUGUCCCUUGUCUGCAGGUAUUCCACGCAAAGUUUGAAUUGCGCACUCUUUUAGCAAAAGUUUCUUGGCUAAUCCUGCCUUGUACUGACCGAAGUUGGAGAAACAGCCGUCUCAAACUGGUUAGCACAAACCGAAAAAAUUUUGAUAACUGUAGCAGGGACAUUGCCUUCAAAAAUGAAUUCAAGCCAUGCCACUCUUCUGUCCUCUGCGGCUGGGACGCGAUGGAGUGUUUUGUGCUCCUCUUUACAGCCAACCACAGUUUAAGUGGUGCUUCGACAUGGUGGUUCUGAAUCAGUAACAACAUGGAGGAUAUCAGAGAAGAAGUUACUGCUGUACCUGGUGGGUGGAGGGUGGGAAUAUUUAAAUUUUUCGGACUGUGACGUCACAGUCCGAGGAGUUUUCUAACAGCUCACCCAGAGACUGAAGACAGAGGACAUUCAGAAACCUAUAUCUCACUCAAAACAGCAUGGAUGUUUUUUUUCCAAAGUUUGUAUGCGUGUGGAAGCACCAGAGACGCAAAAGAACACCCCAAAACCCAGAAAACGUGAUUUUUUUCAUAAUAUGGGCACUUUAAGCAUUUUCAGUGAACUGUCCCUUUAAGUGAAUAAACAGGGUCCUUUUAUAGAAAGGACCGUUGUGAUGUUCUGUGAAUCGCAACACCUGGAGGCUGUCGUCAUCGGCUGUGCAGCUCUUCAAGGGCCUCGGGAGAGCGCUGCGUUACAGAAGAUGGCUGCCUUUGAUCUGGCUUAGAGAUGGAGAGAAACAAUAGCGUCAGCUGGAGAGGCCCCACACUGGAACAACACAUACACACACUCAAAGACACAUAGGAACGAUGCACUCUACAGCAAAUAGUCAAACUGAACACAUGGCAGGCUCCUUUGAAGCAGCGGGAAUGUGAUAGGGAGGAGGCAGCAGCAGCAGUUACAUGACAGUCAGACGGUAAGUUAGCACUGUGUCAACAGUAGCAGUUAUGUGACAGUCAGGUUGUAAGUUCACUGUGUCAACAGUAGCAGUUAUGUGACAGUCAGGCUGUAAGUUCAGUGUGACAACAGUAGCAGUUAUGUGACAGUCAGGUUGUAAGUUCAGUGUGUCAACAGUAGCAGUUAUAUGACAGUCAGGUUGUAAGUUCAGUGUGACAACAGUAGCAGUUAUGUGACAGUCAGGUUGUAAGUUCAGUGUGUCAACAGUAGCAGUUAUAUGACAGUCAGGUUGUAAGUUCAGUGUGACAACAGUAGCAGUUAUGUGACAGUCAGGCUGUAAGUUCAGUGUGUCAACAGUAGCAGUUAUGUGACAGUCAGGCUGUAAGUUCAGUGUGUCAACAGUAGCAGUUAUGUGACAGUCAGGUUGUAAGUUCAGUGUGUCAACAGUAGCAGUUAUAUGACCGUCAGGUUGUAAGUUCAGUGUGACAACAGUAGCAGUUAUGUGACAGUCAGGUUGUAAGUUCAGUGUGUCAACAGUAGCAGUUAUAUGACAGUCAGGUUGUAAGUUCAGUGUGACAACAGUAGCAGUUAGGUGACAGUCAGGCUGUAAGGUCAGUGUGUCAACAGUAGCAGUUAUGUGACAGUCAGGCUGUAAGUUCAGUGUGUCAACAGUAGCAGUUAUGUGACAGUCAGGCUGUAAGUUCAGUGUGUCAACAGUAGCAGUUAUGUGACAGUCAGGCUGUAAGUUCAGUGUGUCAACAGUAGCAGUUAUGUGACAGCCUGUAAGGUCAGUGUGUCAACAGUAGCAGUUAUGUGACAGUCAGGCUGUAAGGUCAGUUUGUCAACAGUAGCAGUUAACAGAAAAACACACAAAAAGGGUUUUGGGCCGUUGUGUCUGACAAUGGAACGAGUACACUUACAUUCAUGCUGCACUGUCUGCAGGGUAUGCUAUGUGAGCAACUGAUGGGAAAUAUUUCAUAAAUCUCUUCAAGUCUUCAUCUUACCCUUUUAGGUAAUUGUAAAUGUAAUCAACUAGAAUUUGUUAACUGGUCCUGCAUAUUCUGUUGCUAGUCUUUAAUUCUAACAGGACACCUGGAUGUUAAAACGGAAAGGCAUGUUUUGACACCACGCUGAAAAACACAUGAGAUGACCUCCCAUCUGCAUGCAUUAUACAGUACAGGGGGGAGCCAUGCUGUCUCCAAUGGCUCCAAUGUUCAAAAGGCAGUGUCAUGGGAUAAGCCGCAAAACAGACUGGAAGUUGUUUAUUAUAGAAGGACUCUUGCCUUCUCUGGUACUACAGUGCCUCCUUUUGCCUUGAAGCUUUCCAAACACCAUUGAGCUAAAACACAAACAAGGAAAACAUGUCAGUUUUCCUUGCAACUGUUUUUCUUAAUCUUUAAGUGACUGAGACGGUUAUUUAAUUCCUUUCCGCUCAGGAUUUGAAUAUUCAUGUGGAACUUAACAAAACAAACAUUAAAAAAAAUAAUGUUUAAUUCAAACUGCAACAUGAACAUAGCAUGCUGCCAUUACAGCACGAAUCCAAGGAGAGGUAAGCUGGAUGCUAAUUGGUGAUCUUUUGGCUGUCAUGAGCUACUGUUAAGCAUGUGUUGGUAUUUUCUUGUUGUUCCUGAUUAGUUGUGAAAAGGACAGCUGUUUCCAGCGGCUCUGGGUUUUAACUGUGUGAAAGAACUCUCUGUAAUGAAUUACAGAUGGCGGGAAGCUGUGGCAUUGGUCCGUGUGCAGAACGUGUGCGUCUCUAAACAAUCCAUGCGUUGCUUUUGGUGUCAGCUGAAUUCCAGGUGAAUGCCAAGCAUGAGAAUAGAGAAUGAAUGAGCGGUGUCAUUGGAAAAACAAAUACCAUUUUGGAGCUUAGCGCUCCGUUGCCCUCUCGCUAGCAGAAUAAUGGAAACUAUAAGGCAGACGGAAUUAGAUUUUUGUCAUGUUAUCCUUCACAUUCGCUACAGAUUGCUCAAGCAUUUUGUGGAUUUGGAAUUAGACGGCGUGAAGUUUUCCUCUUGAUGAGCAGUUUUCGUCUUUGCUUCAAGCGGCUUCUUGUGAAAUGUUAUAGUCCCUUACGAACACAGGCAUGUCACCUUAUAGAUGAGUACGUAGAGCAGUAUGACACUACAGGUUUGAAUAAAGCCCUUAGUUCUGACAGUGAAGCCCCAUCACUAUAUACCUUCAUAAUGAGCUGUGACUGCAUGUCAAGGUGAAAUCACUUUAGAUCACGUUAGUCAUUCUUAAUUAGUUCAUCCCGCUAGGUCCAACAAAACUUAAAUCUAACUAGGUUUCUCUCUUUUAAGACUGAAUCCUGUGGGUUUACCUGAACCAUGGACUGUAGUGGAGCCUUCCUGAAAAAGCAAACACUUCCCUUUAACAGUGGAGUACAGAUGUUAUCUGGCUGAGUUUGAGUAGGUCAGUCGGCCUGUGUGACGUUAGAGGAAACAUCUUUCUUGACUGGAGAGUAGUAAGAACACACAGCUAAUCCUCAGCAGGCCACGGGUGUCCCUUAGCUUGGCCUUCAGACUGCCGGAGGUCUCUACGACGGAGUUGAUCGGGUACAAACACGCACUUUCUCGAAAAGAAAAACACAGUGCAACGCAAUCUUUGGUGCUCUUUCUUUCUCCCCCUCUAUUCUCCAACACCCGUUUACACACCUGCCUUAACAGACAAACGCUUCGUUCCUUCUUCUCCCACGCUGCCGAAACAUUUUAUUCUGAUGUGAUCCCUGGUGAGCCGCCAUAGAUGGACAGGAGGCAAUCGACGUGCGGGAAAUACUUGAGCCAGACAGGCCCUCUCAAAACCCACUCGCCCGUACCAUUUAAAGUAAUCUGGGUUUUGGAGUUAACACCUCGAUUCUCGACAUAGCUUCAAUUCUUCCACUCCUGAAUAAACUCCCAUAAAUUGGGUCACCCGCUUUCGCCG